GCAGGGGUCUUCACCAGGAGGCAGGAAACAGCACUGCUAGAGGUCGGAGGAAACUUUAAAGCGACUUAUCCAAGACAUUCUAAAAUCAGACUGGCGAUACAGGAAACUUCGGCAUAAUUUCCUAUAACAGCAUCAGGCUGUGCUCCAAGUCUUAUCUGCGAAAAAAACGAGGCAAAACAACAAAUCCACAGUGAAGAACACAUCCAGUUCCUUUGGAAAGCGUCACCUUAAAUCUCCCUACACUGAGCUGCUAGCUACUUGAAGUUUUUAAUAGCUUCUACUUGCCUGAAUGAAAGAACACCACUUCUACAGCCAAACAGAUUCAAUCUGCGGUAUUCCGACGAGAGAAAAUGCCAUGCUUUAAAAGUCGCUCCCUUUAAGUAAGGUCUCGAGUUGAAUAUA